CCGGCCCGGUCCCGGCGGCGUCGCGCGAUGGGGCCGCCCCGGUCGUGCCUCGUGCUCGCGGCCGCGCUGCUGCCGCUGCUGCCGCCCGGGGCCGCGCCGGGACCCGUCGCGCCCGGACCCGCCGUCACCGACGCCGAGAUCGAGGCGUUCCUGCGCGGCCUCCUCGGCACCGGCGACCGCGACGGGGAUGGGGACGGCGACGGCACCGACCUGGGCUUCGGCAUCGACCCGAGCAUCGGCGCCGGCACCGGCAGCGACACCGGCUCCCCGGGGCUGAUGGAGCUCGAGAAACCCAAGAAGGGGAAGAAGGAAAAAGCUCCGAAACCCACCAAGAAGCCCAAGGAGAGAGCGCGGGGCUCCAAGAAGGACAAGGACAGGGACAGGGGCCGGGACAGGGACAGGGGCAGGGACAAGCCCCCCAAGAAGCCCAAAGAGAAGCCCCCAAAAGGCUCCGAGAAACCAGCCAAAGGCUCCAAGAAACCCAAGGAGAAGCCGCCCAAAGCCACCAAAAAACCCUCUGGCAAGAAGCCACUGGAGCCCCCGACACCCCCCGCGGAGCUCCCCGUCACUCCACAGCCCCCGCGGGGUGAGGAUGAGGAGGGGACACCCCAGUUCCCAAAGCAGCCUUCGCCCUAUGAGGAGGAGGAGGAUGGAGGUGGCCGAGGGGAGCUGGAGGAGCCGCCACUCUGGGAGCUGGGCCGGGAGGACUCACACCCCGAGCCUGAGGCCCCCACGGAGCCGGAGCCCCCCACCCUGGACUACAAUGAGCAGCUGGAGCGGGAGGACUACGAGGACUUCGAGUACAUCCGGCGGCAGCAGAAGCCCCGCAAGCCCCCGGGCAGGAAGAGCCCCCAGAGGGUCUGGCCCCAGC
rnacentral:lncRNA from 1 species